GAUAGGCCAUGUAGGAAGUUUCCAUUUUCUCAGGCAGGAGAUAGGAACCACUGUAGAAUGUUGAGCUUGAAAAUGAUCCAAGGAGAUCUUUGUGAUGGAACUAUCAUUCUGAGAGCUGAAUGGAGGGUGAAUUGCAAGUAGGUGAGAUUAAAGACACAAAGUCAAGGGAGUGGUGGUGAUAAUCUGCAAAAGAGAAGACAAAGGCCAGAACCAAGACAACACCAAUUGCAGAGGGAAGAGAGCAAGAAUGCUAAAAGACUUGGCAUGUAAAAGGGCAGCAUCUGGUUGGUGAUGGAGCAAAUGUGGGGAUUCCAAAGAGGACCCAUAAUAAGAUUACAAAGUGGAGCCACCAUGUCAGAGUGUUGGUUAAGAUCACCUGGACCUGGCAACCUCUUGGAGAAGAAAUUCAGGAGGGGGAAGUGAGUCUCAGACUUUCUCUACUUCACAAGAGAUAAUUUCUUAAAUUCUUUCCUGGUUUCAUGCUAUCAGGAUUCAGUACCUAUACUUGCCAAAACCCAGAUGGACAUACUUACCUAUUCAUUUAUUAUCUGUGCUAACAAGGAACACAGGAUUUUUGUUGUUGUUGUCAAUAUUUCCACAUUCUACAAAUCAACUGGUUGGAUUGGAAUUCUUUUACCUGUAGUUGUCCUCCAAUUACAGGAGACUGCUAAGAGACAGAAAUGGCUAUAUAACUAAUUUGGGAAAAAUUCAAACUAUAACCUUCAAUGCACAGCUCAGAAUCUGUACUAAAUGUGAAUACCAGAAUCACCUUUCAUCCAGAAAGAUGGUGUCCUUGAACCUAACCAGGAGAUAAUGAGCUUUCUUUUCCUCACAUUUGUAAUCCCUCACCCAAAGCUUCAUUAGAAUACAACCAUCCCAUAAUACAGUUGUAGUCAUUUAUUUUGCUAUUUAUGCAAGUUUUCAUUUCCCUCUGUGGCCGUGAAAACAAUUACAGAAACUUGUAAAUUUUGUAAUCCAUAUCUAUGAAGAAACAAGUAAAUUAUGAUGAUCUAAAACAGAGUGGCAGCCAAAGGGCUUUAGUCUGAAAAGAUCAGAUUUUCUAAGUAACUGAUAUGUCAGAACCAUCCCCAGUGAGGAUAUGACCAGAAUUUUUAUCCAUCACUCAUUAAAUUAUGACACUGUGUGACUUUAUAAGCCCUGACUGAUACAGCAUCCUGAUUAAAGGGUUUAUUAACAAAUGAUUGGAAAUAUAGGUAUUCUGUUUGUACUUCACACACUUUUGUAUUAUUCAGAUGUUUUUUGGCAAUAAAAAUGUAUCAACUCAUUUUGAUUGGAAUUCC
rnacentral:lncRNA from 1 species